rfam:Clostridium tetanomorphum DSM 665 contig2, whole genome shotgun sequence.
UAAUUUCUGAGAUAUUCGCUGGCUCUAUAUUUUGAACCUACAUUACAGUAAAGGGAGUUCAAGAUUUAGAGGUGGAUAUGUACUUUCAUGUGAGACCUUUAGACGGCAUUGAAGGCGAUAGAGACUUCUGUGAGAACACCCACCUAUCGGAGAGAUAGGUGUCAAAAUUAGAGUAACGGUAUUUUGGAUUAUAA